UUGAAAGGGAAACGAUUGAAGUCAGUCGUACCGACGGAAAAUCAGCUCUUCGAGUGCGGACUUGUGGGCGUACGUGAGCUUUAACCGGCCUCGUCGUUUGCUACGUUUGUGCUUUUUGGGUGUACUUUUUCGUAUGGUAGGCCAACGUCAGUUUCGAUCACCAUAAAAUGAUCGGAGGAAUGUAGCUUCGAUCUUGUAUUGAAGUGUUAUAGCCUUUGGUAGAUGUGGUGACUGAGACUGAGGAUUGCAACGAAUACCCUUUGGGCUAUCCGUCUGACCUCUGAUAGUUGCUUAGGUGCCGAAAGCUUGCUUACGGUCAUCUAUGACGACGGUCAAAAGGUUAGAACGUGAUUAUAUUCGUUAAGGAUGUUGACGUA
rnacentral:rRNA from 1 species